GGGAAGGUAGCUCAGUGGUAGAGUGCUUGCCUUGCAUGCAAUGAGACCCUGGGUUAGAUUCCUAAGCACCA
rfam:Dipodomys ordii contig_49681, whole genome shotgun sequence.